UACGGGGGGGGGGCAAGCGUUGUUCGGAAUUACUGGGCGUAAAGGGCUCGUAGGCGGCCAACUAAGUCCGACGUGAAAUCCCAAGGCUUAACCUUGGAACUGCGUCGGAUACUGGAUGGCUUGAAUUCGGGAGAGGGAUGCAGAAUUCCAGGUGUAGCGGUGAAAUGCGUAGAUAUCAGGAGGAACACCGGUGGCGAAGGCGGGUCUCUGGGCCGAUACUGACGCUGGAGGAGCGAAAGCGUGGGGAGCGAACAGG
rnacentral:rRNA from 1 species